rnacentral:rRNA from 1 species
UGAGGAAUAUUGGUCAAUGGGCGGGAGCCUGAACCAGCCAAGCCGCGUGAGGGAGGAAGGCCCUAUGGGUCGUAAACCUCUUUUGUCAGGGAACAAAAGCGAGUAUGUAUACUAGUCUGAGUGUACCUGAAGAAAAAGGCAUCGGCUAACUCCGUGCCAGCAGCCGCGGUAAUACGGAGGAUGCGAGCGUUAUCCGGAUUUAUUGGGUUUAAAGGGUGCGUAGGCGGCGGUGCAAGGCAGCGGUAAAAGCCCGGGGCUCAACCCCGGCGAGCCGUUGAAACUGCAGUGCUAGAGAAGGCGAGAGGUACGCGGAAUGCGCAGUGUAGCGGUGAAAUGCUUAGAUAUUGCGCAGAACUCCGAUUGCGAAGGCAGCGUACUGGCGCCUGACUGACGCUGAGGCACGAAAGCGUGGGGAUCGAACAGGAUUAGAUACC